CAGGCUGAUCUAUCUCUCUUCUAUCUGUACAUUCUCAGGGGAGCAGAGCUGUGCGUUGAUUGCUAAUACAAUAUUCUGUUGUUUUUUUUUUUUCCAGCCUUGCUAUGACACAGUGAAAGUAUGGCUCCAGGAGAACUUACUAGCAGUGGGAAUCUUUGGAUUGUGCACAGCUAUGGUGCAGAUUCUCGGACUCACCUUUGCAAUGACCAUGUAUUGUCAGGUAGUCAAGGCAGACACCUACUGUGCAUAGAUACCAUUCCCGAUCUUUCUGCUCCUCCUCCAAAGGACACAGGAGAAAUCUCCUUCAUGUUCAUUCAUCUGACCUUUUUUUCUCCCCCCCUUUGUACUAUGAACUGUGUAUAAUGCUAUCUUUCUGAAGAUUUUGUGAGUCACCCCACUUUACUGAAGGAGGAAGAAAAUAAAAAGUCAGUACUUGAACUGGCACAGGUAAGAAGCAGCCUUGUCUUUAAACAGAAGAAAACCUCCAAAGAGCAAUGGUUCCUUGUCCACGGCCCAUGGCGAGGCAAAGGAAACGGCAUUGGAGGGGCUGAUCCGCAAACGGAUGUUAGGAAAGGAUUGCACGGAGGCAACCUCUGCACCAGCUGCCAGGUUACCUCCCCACGUGUCACCGUCUGGAAGAGAGGGCAUAGAAAAUGAAAAAAUGAGUAUUCUUCAGCGUGGAAAGAAGGUAGAGUAGCUAGCACUGAAUGCAAUUGUAAUUUUAUUACAGUUUGCACGCAGUUAAAAUGUCAAGAUCAAGCAGCCCUGCCUCCAAGUGUCUCAAGAUGAUUUUGUAGCCAGGAGAGGAUCAUGUUCAGAAAUAUAUUACUUUAAAGGAAUAUUAAAGGAGUCUUACAUGCUGCAAAGUCAGGCUUUUAAUCAGAAUCUGUACAGUGAGAUCUGGCUGUUAAGGGAAAACAACAUUGGACAUUGUCUUACUUAUUAAUUGCCAGUGGCAUAUAGAUGGUUGACUGUAUAUGUAAUAUAUAUUACAUUCAUAUACACAUGCUGUUCCAAAAGGUGAAAAUAGCCAGCAUCUAACCUCGGAAAGAGGGAACCUUACUAUCCCAUUUUACAUUCCAACUGAAAUAACUGAGAAACAAGUAAUUACUUUCAGCUGUAUGUUCAUUUCAGUAAACAACUUGUGAGUGGGCUCUCUCUGUCAUUCUACUACGGUUUUAUUUCUUAUCAUCCCUGUUUCAAGUUAGUCUGCCAAAAAGUAUCACUCACUUCCAUGCUUGAGGAUCCCUACAAAGCUGUCAGCUGUUCCUUCCCUGAAUGUCACCAUUUCAUUAAUUUACUUGGGGAUAUCAUCAUCUGCAGGUAUGAUAGAGUUUGCCUUCCUGAGGAAAAAUCGUUUGCACAUUGCUCAUUUUUUCUGAGAGUUAUUGAGAGUUCAGAUGUUUUUAUCCUAGGUUUUUUUGGUGUUUUGGUUUUUUUCAGUUGCAUGCUUACAACAGCCGAGACACAUCAGUCUUUGUUAGAACUGGAGUCACCUCUCAGUUCUGUUUUUCAGAUUCAUCUCCAUCUGCCUGGCUGUUGGCUAGAAUAUGCCCCACACUUUCUGAAUUUGCAGAAAUCAAAAUCAUAACUUUCCGUAGCCAGAAGACAGUCACCAGUUAUCCAAUUUCCCCACUCUGCAUUGGUAACUUAAGUAAUUUAUGUGGUAACCUUCUGUGCGCAGCUUCUAGCGAUGAGGUGAAGAUCAGAUGUCCAAACAAACAAUUCCCCAUCAGCAAGCAGCCCCAGAUAACGCACAGGUGACAGGGGAGAAGCUGAAGCACAGCAGGGAACAGGCAAACAGCAAUGCUGCUGGCCUGCUCCCUGCAGCCAGCCUUUGAGGACCUCUCAGCCACUGACAAUAGGCCAGAGAUGACCAUGGUGCCCUGUUUCCCCAGAAAGCUCAAUGCAGCCAUUCCUACUGCCAUAGACUAGAAGCAUGCAUCCAGUUCAGGCAAAAAAAGUUACCCUGUACCUUUGGUACUUACAACAGCGGGUCUCUGCUAUGAAUGACGUUGUGCUUACCUUGAUUUAAAGGCAAUGGCCAGCAGUAAAGCUGGACUUGCUGACUGACAGCUUAUUGAACAAUCUCCUUAACACCUGUAAAUAACCCUUUUCUGGACCUGCACCAUUGACAAAUACUGCUCUCACUGCUUGGGAUUUGGGUCUUUUUUUCUCUUUGCUGAUUUUCUGCAGUCCACUCACCCUCAGGCCCAAACUCACAGGGAAGUGCCUAGGAUGCUCUGGUGUAUGAAAGAGCAAGUAUCUAUCUUCCAAAAUCUUACCCUCUAUAAAGGUGCAUCUGUAAAGGAUGUAGCAUGGAGCACGUAGCUGUCCAGGCCAAGCUGAAAGCAACAUAUCACUUGUGUGCAUUUUAUGUGGCUUCCCAAGCACUCACUGUCACAGCAACCUCAGCACCACUACAGAUUUGACUGCCCUGCUAACAAGCCUUGACAAAUGUUAACACAUCUCAGCCCAAGACAGAGGUUAAACCAAGUGAGCAGCCCACACACAGGUGCCCCGUGCAAGAGACUUGCUCUCGGUGUUACAGUCACCACAGUCUCAACGGUCUCUGCUUCCUGAGCACAGCCUGACCUGUCAACAGUCCUGCUCUUGAAAGAUGGUCUAAAUUCCUUCUACUCUGUUCCUUUCUUACCUGCAUAGAGACAUGAUUCCAGGUUAGAUGUACCAUUAGUUGUUGCCGUGGUUUAUAGUUUGUAACACACAGGUGCUCCUGCUGACAGCUCAGAGUUCCCACCACUGAAAAGCAGCAUAACAGAGUGAUAAAUAUAUUAAUAAAACAUUGAUUUUUAAGAAGGAUAAAAGGUAAACACGUCUAUUUGUAGUGUUCCCUGCCAUUAAAAAUUAACACGGAUACAGCAGGCUGAUGAUGGCUGUUGAUAAGAGCAAACUAUUGUGCAAGAGAGCUCCCAUAGAGGGCAACUUUCAUCAAUUUGCCUCCUGGUGUAGGGAAGAGAGAUCACAAACCCUUGUCCUGAGUCUCCCAAUAACAUGUGCUGAGCGCUCAGAGAAGACUGCUAGACUUCAGCUAAGCCUACAGAAGAAACAAAAUCAGAAACAGAGACUGAAGAAAAGUCAAACUGUGGUUCCCUCUAAUUAUUUUCCGCAAUUUCAGUGUCUUUACAAGAUAAGCUGCUUCAGUUUUCAAAAACACAUAUGUACAGGGAGUGUAAGAAAUACUCAGGUUCUAAAUCCCAGUUACUGCAACAGAAACAUACGGCGCUAAUGGCUGAAAAGAAAGAAAUAAAAAAUGAAAAAGAAAAACCACACAAAACAGACCAUAAAUUGCUGCUAGUAAUUCUUUUUUUUAAACACUACUCUUACACUGCCAACUGCUACUACAACUUGUUUAUAAUUUGAACUGGACUAUUUUCUAUAUUUGAUGUUAUUAACUCUCUUCACCCAGGCCAAACAGAUGUUACGGUGCUUAAAGCAUUACCAGCACAAUCCAAUUUCAAACCUCUGAACAUACUGCAUAUAACAAGCCUCAGACUUAGCAUAUAUUCUUUUUAAAAAGCAUUGCAUAUUUUCUCUGCUGACGAGGUCAGAAUAUUUUAAAAACCAAUAUUAUCCAUAAAAGUUCAUGCUGAACUGGUUGAUUAUAAAUACCUUGUAGUGCAUAACACCCAUGUAAAAAGCUGCAGAGCAACACAGAAGUCAUUCCAAUUGCUUCCCAUUAGUGUUUUGUCACCUUUAGUAAAGUCUUCUGUAUUAUUUUCACUUCUUAUCUUUAAACAUAAAGGAGGACUUGAUACGUUUAAAUUAAAGACAGAACCAAAAGCAACAAAGACAUUGAAGGAUUUAGACUCAUUGCUCUUUCUGCUUAAUAAAAAGAUGUGAAGGCACAGGGCACACAGCUGGACAUACUGAUUACAGCAACAUCAGGAUUUAGCUUUUAGAUUCAGUCCAAUAUACUUCUGGCUUUUCAUCUUCACAAUUUUUAUAUAUAUAUAUAAAAAAUAGAAUAUGGUUUAUUUUCCUGUACAGUAACUGUCAGUAGCAGCCAAAUGUUAUUGCUUGUACAAUAGAUUUAUUUAGCUCCACAUCUUAUAGUGCACAAUCACUGAAAUUCACUUGUUUCUCCCCCACAAAUAAUAUAAACUUAUAAAGGUUUAUUCUGUCAUUUAAUAAUUGCCAUUUGAAUGCAGCACUGUAUGAUUUAUAAUAUGCAGAGGAAGGAACUGCACAGAAGCUGUAAAAAUAUUUUAUCUCGCAUCAGCAAUAUGGCUGCUGUGCAAACCCACCCAACCCCCUCAGAUCACAAACUAAUUAAGAACUGGCAACAUCCUUCAGUGCACAGUGGCUUCAGGCUGCCUCUUCCCCCACUCACAGAUAGACCCAGAGGCUGUUUGCAAGGAGAAAGGUAAAGCCAUUCACUCACCUCUCAGCUCCAUUGUUGUGCUAUAAAGAUGGCACCAAAGGUAAGCAACAAAAACCAGCAGUUGAUUGUGGCAUUUAUUUUAAAACCAGACUCCAUUACCUUUGUCUGCAAGGAUUCUUGCUGAGUGGGAAUGAUCUUCACAGAUACUGAGUCAGACAAUUCACAGUAAGAACACAAGUCAGGACUCCUCAUGGGAAAUUUUGUUUGGAUUCCAUUGUGAAUUCUCCUAGAUUUUCACUGGUAUCUUACCCCAGUGGGCAGGUCUCCUCAGUUCUUUGGAUUUUGUCGCUGCAACUACAGUGAUACAUUUUUGUGCAUUCAUAUAAAGAACAAAAUUUUAAAAAUACAUUUUAUUUUUUAAAAGUUAUUAAAUAUUCUUUAAAGUUUA